AUAUUUUAUAAUUUUUAAGAAACAAAUAUGUUCUUAAAUUUGUUUUUUAAGGAAAAUUAUUAUUGGUUGAAUGAUUACAUCAAAGGGAAAUGGAUUAUUUUCAUAUGUAAUUUCAUGCUACCUCCAACAAAGGUUUUAUCCUGAUUAUAUUGUAGACCUGAAUUCAUUUAAAUUUAUGCUGAUUUUUUUAACUUUAGAGACAUAUUGCUCAUAUUCAAGUACAUUUUAAUUCAUGUUAUAAGUAUAUGACAACAUAAACAUGUUUUGACAUCCUCUACUGAAUAUAUUCUUUUUACACCACUAAGCAUUUUUAAAAUUUAGUUUUUUAUAAAAAGGACAGAUAGGCAGGCAGGCAGAGAGAGACAGAGACAGAGAUGACAAGCAUAAACAAGGAAUUGUAGCUGUGGUCUAACAGAUUACACAUUUUUAAGCACCUAAAUUUAGAAAAUUAGGUGGUAUACUUUAUUAUUGAUCAUUUGGGGUCAAACUAGCUAAUCUGGCAACUUAAUUUUCCUAGGGAUUUAUUUGAUGUAAAAAUAUGGUCUGAUCGUUCUUCAGUGGUUCUUUCCUUUUAGGAGUCUUGCUCAUGAGAACCUGUCUUAAAACUUUUACUGCUUGAAAUAUGUAGAAAGUCCAAGGGUAAAGGAGAGUGGAAUUUGUUGUUGUUUACUAUGAAGAAUUAUCAUUGAGUCAGUUCACCUUUGGCUGGCAUCUGGGGAAAGUUUGCCUGCACGACAUGAUUAACAGCUAAAAUAUUCUUACGGCCUUUAUCUCAGCAGUCUAGAAGGUUCGAAUGAAAAGAACAUUAUCCAUAGAGGAAGUAGGAGGUAAACAUUCCUAACAAAAAUGGACACUCAAUAAAUACAUGUUAAAUAAAAGAAUAAACAAAUACGUUCAAGUCGAUUCUAGUUGUGCAGUGGUAACCCUUGUCGUAUUGGAACAGUAAUGCACAUGGACCAUGAGUCCUUGUAUUCUUCUUGAGCCAGCUUGGUGAACUUGGUCAAACCACUGACACUCAAUUGCUUCACUGGUAAAACAAAGCCAAUAGCAUCCGCUAUACUUAUCCAUUAGAUUUUUUAUCCAUUAGAUUUUUUAAUAUAUAUGAAUACAAUUUAUGAAAGUACUGUAUACUAUGUACUUAGUAUAUACUUAAUUAGUAUGAAAAUAAAGUAAAAAUACCAUAGAAAAUUAGAGGUUUAUGAAUUGCUAAUACAUGAGAUAUUUACUAGGGUGUAUAUUUACUAUGUCUUCUAAAAGUAUAAGUUUGGUAAGCAGAAAUCUCUUAGGGUUUAGCAUUUCUUUAACUGAUAGCAAAAAUUUUGAAUGUUAACUAUUUAAGUGUAUCUACAGUGACUUUCCUUUUCUUCAUGAUAUUGCCUUGUUUAUCCCUUUGAUUUAUCCUCAUGUCCCACUGAAGCAAGCUAUGCACCUUAAUGCCAUCUUGUUUAUGGGGACUAAUAAAAGAAAAUUGUCUGCAAUGGGAGAUCUGCUUUAUUUACAUGCAAAUUAAAACUAUAUUCCUUCGGUUACAGGCCAAAGAUUAUUAAUGCAUGAUGUGUAACAAUUUCAGGCAAAGCCUAGGAAGAGAGAGAAUGCCGAAAGACUUCUAAUGUAUGGAGUUUAAACAUCAGAUGGUGAUUGAUUGCUAUUAAUUUAUGUCAGCAAAGGAGGAGAAGAAAUACGUAAAACUGCCUCUGAAGAAUUUACAUUAAACACCAAAAGAAUCUGACUCUGAAAAUGAAGAAACAAGGAAUAUUGUUUGUUUUGGGAAUCAAAAAAAAAAAAAACUUCCCAUUUGAGUACACAAUUUCCUAAACAAGAUACAUGAUAAUUCCAUACACUAUGCUUUCCGAAGAAACUUUGUAAAACGUAUUUUCAUUAUUCAAAACUUGAAAACACAGAAACAAUAUGAUGCAAAAAAUUAUCUUUAGCAUUAUUCCACUAAGAUAAUUCAUUUUAACAUCCAUAUAUUCAUUAUUAUGUAAAAUACCUAUCAGUAUGUGGGUAUAUCUUUGUGUGUAUAUUUUAACAAAACAAAAUUCAAUAAAAAUUGAAAUACAGAAAUGACAAAAACACACAAAAAAUAUAAAUUAUUUCCAUUGUAGCAUAUAUUACCUUUUUCACCUAACAUUAUACUGUAGGAAUAUAUUCUUUCAUCAUUCAAUGCUUUUGAAAAUAUAAUAAUAUUCCAUUUUAAGGACAUGCUAUAAUUUAGUUCAUUAGUUUUUAAACUUUUAGAUUAUCUCAUUUUGUCAUCAUUUAAAAAAAGUGUUCCUGGAUGUCCUUUUGCAUAGACUUUUGAAUGUAUUUCUGACUAUUUUCUUAACCUGUCCUGUACUUCUGCAAGUAGAACUGCUUGAGCAGAGAUUAGGAGCAAUUUUAAGGUUUUUCAAAAAUCUUGACAAACUAUUCUGCAGGAAAAAUGUAUCUUGUUACCAUCAGCAUUUUUAAGUAACUAGUGACUAAUUGUAAAAAUAAUUGUGUUUCCUUGUAUUUAAGCCUUGCGCUAUAGAUUUUAAAAAUUUGUCCUUUUUUUUUUUUCAUUUGUAAAAAAAAGCCAUCUAAAAGACCUUAGAACCUGGUAUCAGCUGAAGCUUACUAAACCAUAUCAAGAAGAUCAUGUCAUUCUCAAGAAAAGCAUGUUUCAAAUAAAAAGGAAAUGUCAGCCCUGAGCGUUUUUAUUAACCAUCUCCCCAUCUGACUUCAGAGACAGCUUUAGCUGACCACUUCCUCUCUCGGGUUUAUUUGUAUUAGAAAUAAGUGGAUUCAUUAACUGUGCCACUUGGUGGUCAGGCCAGGCCUGCCAGUGUCCAAUAACAGGUAAUGGUUGUAUUUUUCACGGGGUGACUGAUGUUUACUUUGUUGAUGGCCCCAGGAGCUCAUGUAAUCUGAGAUAGGUCUUUGUUUACUUCUUGUUUUACUGAUAUGCUGACCCAUUUGAAACUAGCGAGAAAGAAAAAUAAACAUUCUGGAAUAUGGUACCUGAAGUCACUCUUCCUUAGUGGCUUUAUUGUAACCUCUUCAAAGGCUUUUGUUAACCCACUCUUUUCCCAGCAAAAAACCCUGAUCUGGUCUCUUUUCCAAUUAAACCAAAAGCAAUAUCACACCAAAUAAGCAAACAGAAAAUAUUGAAAUUACCACUUAAAGAGAGUUUUAUCUGGGGUUUAAUUGUGUGUGUACUCAAGCGUUUAGUGUAGGUCAUUUGCUAAUGACAUCUAGUAAUUUUUAAAAACUGGAUAAAACUGAUACUGAGCCUGUCUACAGCAAUUUAACUAUUUUGGGGGAGUAUAAAGUUAGAUUUGUCUAUACUGACUUGUUUGCUCCAUUUUAAAAACUGUGUUGGAAUGAUUUAUUAUGGAUGAUCCAAAAUAAACGUGAAGUGAGGAAACUAUUUUUUAAUUACCACUGGUAGCAUAUUUAAUGGAAUUGUGUUAUUGUGCCAGAAACCUUAUUGAGCUAUAUUUGUUCUAUUAUCUUACUCAUCAGCACAGCAAAAGUUCAUAUUUCAAGGGUGAAGGAAGUGAGGCAUAGAGAGGUUAAAUAAUUCCCCAAAGGCAGAGGGCCGCCAAUUGGUGAAUGUCAGACAUAAUCCCACGCCUGCCUGAGGCCGGAGUCCAUAUUCUUAACAGACAUCCUCUUUUGUCUCCUUAUUUCAUGAUGCCAAAUAUGCAUGACGCUGAUAUAAAGCGUAUAUAUUGGAAUCUGUAUAUUCAAAUGAGCGAUGUCCAUUCAGUCAAACUGGAAGUAUGCCAAUUACCUUCCUAUAUUCAACACUUAGCUCAGAGAUGAUGAGGCACUUCACAGUUGUUUAAUUGCACUGAGCACCCACCCCACAAGCCCAUUUUACUUCUGUUCAAACCAGGUUUGCUAUUCUAAUUUUGGAAUUAUGUUCAUUUGCAAUCUGAGUCACAAGAGUAAAUAAACUUUAUCAGUAUAUCUUUAAAAUUAUGUAUACAUUUAUAAUGUAUUUAUGUAUAGAAAUAUAUAAACACAUUUAUAUAAAC
rnacentral:lncRNA from 10 species